rnacentral:rRNA from 2 species
CUGUCAAGUCGGAUGUGAAAUCCCCGGGCUCAACCUGGGAACUGCAUUCGAAACUGGCAGGCUUGAGUCUUGUAGAGGGGGGUAGAAUUCCAGGUGUAGCGGUGAAAUGCGUAGAGAUCUGGAGGAAUACCGGUGGCGAAGGCGGCCCCCUGGACAAAGACUGACGCUCAGGUGCGAAAGCGUGGGGAGCAAACAGGAUUAGAUACCCUGGUAGUCCACGCCGUAAACGAUGUCUACUUGGAGGUUGUGCCCUUGAGGCGUGGCUUCCGGAGCUAACGCGUUAAGUAGACCGCCUGGGGAGUACGGCCGCAAGGUUAAAACUCAAAUGAAUUGACGGGGGCCCGCACAAGCGGUGGAGCAUGUGGUUUAAUUCGAUGCAACGCGAAGAACC